rnacentral:lncRNA from 1 species
AUGACAAGGGGAUGGGGCGGCGCGAUGGCUGAACGCGGCGAGCUGCAGAGCCGCCGGCGGGCCCUGCCCUGCCUGCUGCCAGGCUGCGGGGAGAAACGGCCGGCCUCACGCUGCUGCACAUGGGCGGCCUCCUCACGAACCACCACACGGCACCUGGAGUGGGAAGCAAGCAAACAAACACAAGGCAUGCACAUAUCCCAUUAUUACUUCUGUGCCUUAAAACUGUUUGUCCAGGCAUGCCAGACUGCAUGGCAAGAGAGCAAUCGGAGGGCACACAUCCAUUUCAAUCAACCCACCACACAUUACCUUCUCUGAGAAAGUAAGAAAGCAGGAAAUUACCCAAAAUGUGCACAGUCUUGUGCAUCCAACAAUGCAGGUCACAAAAUCGAUAAUGUGCAAAAACAAUUGCUCAGAGCUGAACAAUGAAAUACAUUAAAGCGUAAGCUAAAC